UCAUGUCUCUGGAUUGUGAUUGUCAUACCAUACUGUAAACAGUCGCAACCAAUGGUUGCCUUUAAAGUAGGAACAAUUUAUAAAAGAAUCAAUCCGAAAUCCCAAAAUGUGAUAUGGUAAAUAAACUGCGAUGUAUGUUAUUUGUAAUGAAUUGCUUAAACAUGAAAAAAACAGUGGUCCUUUUUAAGUGAAAGUAAUUAUGUUAAUGAUCUUUCUGUAGUACAGGCUCUGAGGUGGCUGCCAUCAUUUUGCUUCUUUACCUGUUACCUCAACAUUCAACAUCAAAGGGAAAAAAUGAGCCAGAGGAUGCUGCUGACCACCUAAUGAAGUUUAUAAAGGAAAAGAACAGCCUCCAGAAUUUCUACAUUGUCCUGGACCCAUGGAGCACAUGUAGACUGUUAAUUCAGACUUUAACAGCAAUUCUCACAGACCAUAAAUGCUGGCCCUCCCGUGACUGUCACUACACAUUCCAAUUGGAAAAAAAGGCAAAUGCUAGACAUGCGCCAGUGUUAAAGCUCAGGUGCAAGCCUCAGGAGAUCUUCAAAGUACUGUGCAAUGUCAAGUUGGUUCUAUGGAAGAACUGGUUAAUGACAUCCAUGAUGUGCAUGGGGAAAAAAAGCUAUGAAAAAGGAGCUGUUGUUAAAUGGUCAUCUGAUGCAUGUUGAAUGUUUGUCUUAUACUUAUAGGACUUAAAGAAAUAUAGGUGUUAUCAUAUUCUCAAGCCCUUUAACACUUUUAUGAUAAACUAAUUAUGGAAACCACCAAAUAUAUUUUUUCAUUGCAUUAUUGGCUAUUACUGUAGAGCAAUAAAAUAAGGCAGUUACUUUUCCAAUAUCAGUUCAUACCAACAUAAUUUCACAAUAUUUGAUACCCUGCCCUACUCAACAAUGUACUUUGAUAAUCACUUAAAUUACAUUUUGUAUUGAGAAAGAAAAAUGUCUUUUAACUGAUCUGUGUAGAUGACCUGGUGUACUACAAAUCUUUGUUCAUUUUUUCUGAUUUCAGUUAAUUAUGCUUGUAGUGAACCUGGCUUUUAAUACAAAAUAUUUUCAUGCAA